UCCGGCUUAACGCCGGCAGUCCCCCCAGAGUCCCCGGCCGAACCGCUGGCAACUGGGAGCGAGGGUUGCGCUCGUUGCGGGACUUAACCCAACAUCUCACGACACGAGCUGACGACAGCCAUGCAGCACCUGUCUCGCGAUUCCCGAAGGCACCAAGGCAUUUCUGCCGAGUUCCGCGGAUGUCAAGACCAGGUAAGGUUCUUCGCGUUGCGUCGAAUUAAACCACAUGCUCCACCGCUUGUGCGGGUCCCCGUCAAUUCCUUUGAGUUUUAAUCUUGCGACCGUACUCCCCAGGCGGUCGACUUCACGCGUUAGCUGCGGUACUAAGGAAGUCUCCUUCCCCAACACCUAGUCGACAUCGUUUAGGGCGUGGACUAC
rnacentral:misc_RNA from 1 species